rnacentral:rRNA from 1 species
UACGUAGGGGGCGAGCGUUGUCCGGAAUCAUUGGGCGUAAAGCGCGCGCAGGCGGUGGCGUGAGCCCGGCGUGAAAGCCCCCAGCUCAACUGGGGGAGGCCGUCGGAGACCGCGGCACUUGAGGCCGGUAGGGGAGAGCGGAAUUCCCGGUGUAGUGGUGGAAUGCGUAGAUAUCGGGAGGAACACCAGUGGCGAAGGCGGCUCUCUGGACCGGUUCUGACGCUCAGGCGCGAAAGCGUGGGGAGCGAACAGG